GACGAACGCUGGCGGCGUGCCUAAUACAUGCAAGUCGAACGCAGUGGGGACGGGUGAGUAACACGUGGGUAACCUCCAAUCAGAGGGGAUAACAAGUGGAAACAGGUGCUAAAACGAGACUGAUGGAUGAACCAGAGGUGCAUUAGCUAGUUGGUGAGGUAACGGCUCACCAAGGCCACGAUGCAUAGCCCGCCCUAGAGGGUGAUCGGCCACACUGUGACUGCGACACGGCCCAUACUCCUACGUGAGGCAGCACUAGGGAAUCUUCGGCAAUGGACUAAAGUCUGACCUAGCAACGCCGCGUGAGCGAAGAAGGUUUUCGGAUCGUAAACCUCUGUUGUUAGAGAAGCGGUAUCUAACCAGAAAGCCACGGCUAACUACGUGCCAGCAGCCGCGGUAAUUC
rnacentral:rRNA from 1 species